UACAGAGGUGGCUAGCGUUGUUCGGAAUUACUGGGCGUAAAGGGCGCGUAGGCGGUCAGCACAAGUCAGUUGUGAAAUCUCCGGGCUUAACUCGGAAAGGUCAACUGAUACUGUGCGACUAGAGUGCAGAAGGGGCAACUGGAAUUCUCGGUGUAGCGGUGAAAUGCGUAGAUAUCGAGAGGAACACCUGCGGCGAAGGCGGGUUGCUGGGCUGACACUGACGCUGAGGCGCGAAAGCCAGGGGAGCGAACGGG
rnacentral:rRNA from 1 species